ACGAAACGCCGGCGACGAACUGGCCGAUCUGCCUCAUCGUUCCGCCAGUAGAACCCCGUCAGUCGUUUAACGUCGAGUGGGGAAAGGGGCGCCCCUCGGAGAAGGGGAAAUUUUCCCUCAAUCAUGUGUGUGUGUUGGUGUAUGGGUGUGUGUGUGGAGUACAUCGGCUUCAACGGUUACAAACGGACCUGCACGAACACGCAACUGGAAUAUAUUUGUCCCUGUCUUCGGUGGAUGAAUUUUGGGGGGACGAGAGAGUACGACGAACCGGCCGGCGUUAUGGUACACGCCAUUGACACCGCAGCGCUGACGGAUUUUUUUUCCUCUGGACGCGCUAGCUUGGACCAGACAAUGUCCCAUUUUGGUGGCUGUAGGAGGCUGGAGACCUUAUCAGUCGGUCCAAUUAUUCGGAACACAAUCUCGGAGUUGUUACACGUCCGGGAUUUGGGGCUCGAUCGGUAACUAGCGUCAUCCAUCAUUUUUCGGGUGACGGCAGGUGGGAGGCUGAAGAUUCUGGUCGUUACCGCCGAUAAUAAAAGCAAAAUUGGUGCAAUUUUGUGGUGGAUUUCGAGGAGUCGGGCCAGGAAAGUGACUUCUUCCCUUCCGGCAAUUGCGCAAGGAGUAUGAAGGCAUAAGGAGAAGGGUUGACAAGUGGGCAAUGCAGUGGCGGGCGUAUGUGCAAUGCGGCGCUGCAUAAUGACUCAACAAUGGGCGUGGUGUGGAAUAACUGACCUCGCCGCGUCCCAAUACCGCCUUCACCCUCACUGGGACGUUUUCUAUUUAUUCGGGAAACAUGCAAUGAGUGUACAUAGGUAAAUAGACGUCAUGCUGGGGAGGAUCCAGAUGCUGAAGGAGAUAGAGAACCGCAUAUUGUGCACCAAGGGAGGAAAAUCGGUAGCCGCCUGUCUGCGGUAAAUACCUAGUGAACGUGCCCUUUUUCCACGUCCUGUGCGAAAAGUCCGUUUUACGCACGCUUCGCCUCAAACGUUCCUUUUCCACAGAUUGAAAUGAGAAAAAUAUUUUUUUUUUACGUUCACUGCUGUGUGUGUUAUUGUAAGCCACACUCGUCAGAUGAUAGUUUUAACGACUGAUAAUAUGAUGAAGGGAGGGAUGAAGAACAUUUAGAGGGCCUCACAAUCUCCAAUCCUCCUCCACCCGCUCACCUAGGGGACUUGUACGAAUUGGCAGACGGCAGUCUGGCUGUCUCGUUGCUCGGCAACGCGCCACUGGCCACCGUCGAUGAUAGGGUGAAAUUCAGGAAUGGGUUUAAGUGAAUUUCUCAACGGAAAAAAAGACACGAAAAAAAAAAAAUAUUAUUCCAUCGAUGUCCUGCUCCUGGAGCCACUCCAGAGGAAUUGAGAUGAGUCUUAGAUGUGAAGUUUAUGGAGUUGAGGAUUUAUGAAUUUAUGUCUAGUGUUGGAAGGGUAUAAUUAAAGAAAAUGGAGCGGUAAAUCAAAAUUACGUGGGGAUUUAUGAUCUCGUGGGGAGAAAUUAUCGUCUAUUCACUUCUAAAAUCAUUUAAUUCCCCUAGAUUAUUGCAAUUAAAUGAUUUUAAGUUUCCAAAAGCAUUCAUUACAUUUCCUAUUUUUUAUUCUGUGCUCUUCCUCGUCAUUUUCAUUCUGUAAUUCAAUAUUCAACAAUUGAUUAUUUUUUAUGUGUUAUUAGAUUUUUUUGAAAGUCAUUUUCAUAAAAAAAUGUUAUGCCAUCGUUGUCCAGUUCCUAGAACAGCUCAUUAGAAAUUGAGAUGAGUCGUAGAUGGGAAGUUUAUGGAUCUGAGGAUUUAUGAAUUUUCUCAAGUGCUCGAAGGGUGUAAUUAGAGGGAAUGGGGCGGUAAAUCAAAAUUCUCCGCAAAUUGAUGACUGUAGAGUGGGAAAAAAUGACCGGGUACUCACACCUGUAAUAAUUGAAUUUACCGACAUUACUGAAUCCAAAGCAUUUUAAUUUUUUGAGUAGGUGACUUCUCUUUUUUUUAUUCCCUACCCUAAUUCUGACAAGUCGAUUGUUUUUCGUUAAUUAUUAGCGAGCGAAAACCCCCCUAAUGGCCUCAUAAUUUUCGUUUCAAUCCCUCAAAUCCUUUAUUAUUGUUUUUCCUAGAUUAAAGUUUUAAUUCUUUCUUUGCAGCUUAAUAUUUUUCAACUAUUUAUUCUGACCGUUUUUCGAUGUGAAGUGGAAGUAAAAUCCACUGAUGUUAUUGAAAUUUUAUCGUCUCAAAAUCACUGAAGUUACCGCUGCGAUCAGCCUAUCGGAGCUCCCCGUGAAUAAAUUCAAAGUCUAUCGCGCGUGAUCAAUUGCCGCGGAAUUUUUAAAUUGUCGGAGUAAUUCUAUUUUUUUAAUGUCUCCCCCGAAGAGUUGUUUAAAGAAUUUAAAAAAGGCGAGUGCAUCACAUGCCUCGGAAUGCAGGUUCAUAUAUAUUUUUUUUUCAUUCUUCAACUAUCAAACGCAUACCUUUUGAGCGCACGCAUUCACCGUGAAGGGAACCCAAGAACGCCCACGAAAAUGUCGUUAAUGUACCUGCCGAGUCAGGUUGAAUAGUCUCCUUACAUUUCAAUCUGUUAUUAUUCAAUUACGCGAAAAAAAUAGUACUUCUUUCCUGUCUUAUUUUUAACUAGACUCUGUGCACGAUAAAGAAAAACCAGACGAGCCAGGAGGAAUGAAUAUAAGCCGUCUUGGAUACGCGGCUGUGUCAGACUAAUCGCGCGAGGAAUAAUAAUUUAUUCAGUUGUAAAGUUUAAAGGCUGGCCAGCGAGAUAUUGUAAAAAUUUAAUGCACAAUGAAAUUCCAGUGCUGAGUGAUUUCCCUUCCCUUUCUUUAUUCACUCCCCUUUGGUUACAGACACUUUCUUAGUGCGCUUUGGGAUGAGUCACUGAUGACUCAAGCCAUAGGAACCUCAAUCGUUUCCUGAGAGGAACAUUGCGAAAUUUUUGAACCACCGAUUAAUUGACUUGAUCCAACUUUGUCUCCUGCACUUAUGGACGAAUACCGUCAACGCCGUUGAGGUUUUUUCAAUUUUUUUAAAGGACUUGAAUUUAUAAUAUUAAUUUUCUGCAGGAAAUUUCGCACUUACAUUGUGAAAUUUAG